AGACUGGGAUUUACCAAAGAUUCCUUUUCCGUGGUGUCAGGUGUGCACAUGGCUCGAGAAAGAGAAACAUCAGAGCUCAGACCAACGCCUUUUCUUCUCCUUUCUUUCGAUGUCUGCCUCUUUCCCCCAAAAAGCUCUUCUUCCUCUCUUCUUGUUCCUGUUCGUCAUCACCAACGGUGCCAUUUUCCCUCUUUUAUCCUUCAUUUUUCCGAUCGACAACAACGAAACCAAGAUAUGGUACGAAAUUUGGAGAUUUUCUCUAUCGUUCUCAUGCUACUUUAUGUUGCAGUUACGAAAUUUGCAGAUUACCUCCAUCAUUCUCAUGCUAUUUUCUGAGCUUUUCCCCCCUUUUUUGAAGGUCCAAAAAUUGGAAUUUUCUUUGAUUCUCUCAAAAACUACUAAUAAGGUGGUAUGGAUCAACAUAUUCCCAACCUAUUUUGCAUAAUAUUGGUGAAUGUUUUGAGCGAGCCUUCUUCUAUUUGCGUAUAUGUGAUUACAGUUUAUACUCUGCUUUUCUUUAUUUUUUUCUCUGCAAAAGAGAUUGCUUUGGAUUUUUUUGUUAUUUAUUUCUUGUUAUGACAUAUUAGAUGUAAGUUUCAAUUUUGGUUAUCAUGAAGUGUUUAUCCUCUUAGUUGUGUCUUGGAAAGUUUAAAUUUAUCAUGUUUCCUUGAGCCUUUUAAACUUAAAAUUGAUCAAUCCUCACUAGACGUUGGAUUCAUUUGUGCAUUUCAUAGGUCUCCACUUUUUGGGUCUUUUUGUACGUGGGGUUACUUUUUUCCCUUUUCCCCUUUUCUGUUUUAAAGUAAUGUAAUGAUAUAAUCAUGUUUAAUUUAUCAAAUGUUUGACAAAAUGUUAAAACUGUUAAUUUGUUAAAUAGCAACUAAACUUGGAAAAAAGUUGUCCCCUAUAACCUAUUUUCUUGAUUUUCAACCGAAAGACUUUGUUCCUCUAUCCAUGAAUUUCCUCUCUCUUCUCAUGGUCUUCACUUACUGAUAAAAAGGAGAAGCUUUAUGUGCUUAUAUAAUCUCUUCUUCUAUUGUAGUUUUACAAAAGGAAAAAUAUCUGUUUUUAAAUGCUAAUCUCUUAGAGAGGUCUUCUAUUUAAGAUUUUUCCCCAUGAGUACGAAUGUGUAAUCUUUGUCAUGGUGCAGGUUUUUUACCCAUAAUAUUUUGGUUGGUCUAUUUAUUUAGACAAAAGAAAAAGUGUGAGGUUGGAUAUUAUAUAGGUGCAAUCUUCUGAUGAUUUUUUCCCUUCAGCCUUCUGUUUUAUUAAAAUACCAGAUUUUGAACAAAUAUCAUGAAUCAGAAAUGUCUAUGCUCAAUUAUAUAUGGUAGAAACUGAUAUGUGAAAAUCGGCUCUAAUAAUUUGAAAUUCACUCCUUUAAUUCAUUAGUGAACAGUUUGUUAAUAGUAGCCUUCCUACCUUUUUUCAUGCAACUUAUUUUAGACGGGUUUUCCUUCUGGGUUUAUAUUGUGUAUGACAUGUGUUUUUAGCAAUUAGAGGAUUAUUAUUUGACUAAUUAAUAUGUUAACAGGUUACAAAAAAUAAGUUAGAGUGGGACUAAUUGGCAGUGGAGUGAGAGAAGUCUUAACAUGGGAAAGAACAAGCAUAAAAGGCAUGUUAAAGAUUUGUCAAUUGACAGAGCAACUCUGUAUGAACAUUAACUAGAUGCUGCCUAAGGUAUAUGUAAUUUGGUGAUAAAACACUACAUUCUGCUGAUUUAUUUUGGUGGUUCUUGAUUCUCAUUUUGCAGAAUUUAAGUAGUGAACUCUACCACAAAUCCUUGAAAGAUGCUGCUAAGGCAUAAUUUGUUCAUUAUCUUUCAUUUGCUAAUCACCGGAUAACAUUUUGUUCCAUGUGUGUUUCUUGUAUUAGGAACAAAAAGAGGUUUACUUGAAAUAUCACACCUAGAUAACUAGUUAUUACAAAAAUGGCUGGUCUGUGUGUCUAUCUAUUUUUUGCAUAUGAUGUUUUGAUUUGGACUAAAGAUUAAAAUGUUUAGUCCAGAUUAUUAUAGAACAAUGGUGAAGUAUGUGUAUGUGUGUGUAUAAAAGACUAUUACAUGUGGUGAGUUUAUUCCUAGCAUGUAUUUAGAGACCAUUAACAGGUAUAAGAGGAAAUUAUGGCUGCAUAUUUGCUUAAUGCAGCAGUUUUGCUAGAGAAGUUUAGCUUAGUUAUACUUGGCUUAGUGCCUUUAGAUCUCGACAUAUUGCUGUUGCUUGGGUAAAUAUUUUUGCUUUAGGAAUCAGUGUUUUUUUAUUGCCUUGAAGACUGCAGGUGUAAAAAACAUUUACUCAUGUUGAUUUAUUCACCAAGAUUUAUUUCUACCAUUUUUUUGGGAUGUCAUUUACUUUAUGAUCAUAUAGAAGAGAUUUUUAUUAUGGCUAUAGCAAAACGUAGGGUAGCACAGGCGUGAUGUGGACAUGAUUUGCUUCAAACAAGCAGAUUUUGUUUGGGAAAAAAUCAUAUGAUUUGCUUUAGUAUUUGUAUUUAACAUGUAUUUGCAUUAUAUAAGUUGACUUUUUUUUGAGAUUUUAAUAUUUCAGGUUCCAAUCUCGGUCCUUUAUGUUUUGCAUUGCUGGUCAAGCAGAACCACCCAAAAGAAACAAGAGCAUUUGUUUGUUCUAUAUUAUUGCUAGAUAAAGGAACAAGGAAAAAGGAGGCUGCUUUUCUCCAUUCAACCAUGAAGAAGUAAGAAAAUUGUGCCCAAGAUAAAGGUGCAAAGGUGCAACUGUUUAUGCGUACGUGGUCUACUAUGAGAGAUAGGUAGCCAGCUAUUUCACACUUUUGGAUAGCAAUUUAUAACUCAAGAAAACAAGAUUAAAGUGAUAAAAUUUGUUGGGUCAGUGGAUGAAUAUUUUGGCCUCAAAUGCCAUUUUGAAAGAUUGGAAGCAUAUGCAGCUCUCCACUCCCGAUUGUGUUUGAGUCUUGUAUCUCUUAGUAUUUACAUUAAAAAAGGGAGUCUUCAUGGGUGUUAGUAGUUGAGAGAAAAAGGGCAUUUCAUAGGCUUUUUGUAUUUUUAUAAUUUAUACCUUUUGGAACAUUAAGUAUAUUGUACUGAUACUGCUUUCUAAUGGUAAAAUCUGGUGGAGAAAGAAAUCCAGUAA